UUUUAUUAUUUUAAUAUUUAGAAUUUAUUAAAUGAUUUUUUUUAGUUUUUAAUAAUAUUUUUUAAUUUUUUAAUAGAAAGUGGGAUCUGGAUCAAGCCACGUCAGCAUAUAACUGAAAAAUAAACGGCCAAGUAACGGAAGGUAUAACAUUGGACCAAAUUCUAAAGAUGAGGUAUGACAUUGUCAAUUUUAAAAGAUGAGGUAUGAAAGUGUCGUGACACCAAUAGUUAAGGUAGUUUUUUGUACUUUACCCAAAAUUAUUUAUAGCGACAAGAUUUUUUACUUAUAAUUGCAAGGGGAAAAACCAACUAACUUAUUCCACAUUUACGAUAUGAGACAUUAAAGAAGUACAUAGAGGUGAGAUUUGUUGCUAUGGGAGGCAGGGCAGAUUAAAAAAAUGACAAUUAUUUAAAGUGACUAUAAUUAUUCGCAGUUCUUAGAAAAAUAUAGUUGACGUCAAUAUGGUUGAAAGUUUUUGGCAAAGAAAUAAUAAUAUAAAAAAUACUCCUAUUUUAUGUUUUGAAGAGUACUUAUGUUAGUACAUAAAAAAAUUGUAAACUUGGUCCAAUCGAGAAAUCAUUAAUCUGGACAUUUCAGGAAUAAACCUCCAUUAUCAAAAGUCGUCCAUAAUUUGCGUAAAAUACCCUAAAAUACCCUGAUAUCUGAGAAGAUUAUACGACUAAGCAUAAAUCGAGAGAAAUUAUGAUAAGAAAUGGAGUAGGUGGAAGGAAAAAAACAUGGAUGCGAUAUGAAUCUAGCGGUAUAUGUUAAUCUAAAUAUGAGAACUUUAAAUACAAUUAUGUGAUAACAAAUUAUACACAAAACUUACCACUUAACAAAUUUUGAGUGGUUGUUAGUGUCACUUAGCACAGUCGGUUAAGUCCUACAUAAGUAUUUUAAAUUAGGGUAAUGCUAGGGAUCCCACACUUUUAGGCCAUAUGUUGUAGAUCACAUGAUAUGACGGUUGAUAGUUGAAUUUUUUUCUUUAAUGAUUUAAAGAAGAAAUCCAAUCAUCAAACCCACACCAUAUGGUCUACAAAAUAUAUUUCAAGUAGAUGGUUUCUCUAGCAUUACUCAAAAUGAAAUUCAACCAUUAACGUCACAUAACAUAGUUUAUAAAUGGAUGAAGUGCCAAUUUAGUCCCUGAACUAGCACCUUAGUAAAAGUUAGGUCUCUGAAUUUAUUUUUCGGUAAAAUAAGUCCCUAAAUUCAUUAAAAAAAAUGUUAACUUCAGCCGUACUAUUAUAUUCAAAGUUAUUUUAUCCAAUUUUUUUGUCAAUUUAAAUCACUUGAUACACUUUAGAGUGUAAUACCGUCAUUUUUCACCUAUAUAGGUUGCAAAUCUAACGUCUAAUUUACCCUCCAAAGUUAACUUCAUACAUUAUUUUUUUAUGAAAAAAUACCAAUCUACCCUCUAUGUGUAUCACGUGCAAGUAAUGUAUUUUAAAUUCACGGAAAAUUGAAUAUUGUAGUUUGAAAUAUAAUAUUAGGGAUGUAAUUGGCAUAUUUUUAUAUUUUAAGGACUAUUUUUUUUGAAAAAAUAGUUUAAAACUUAAUUUUCACUCAGAUAAUAAUUUAGGAACUAAAUGGGAAAUUUGGAAAAAUAAGCAAAUUUUGGACUCUGUAUAAUCACUUUUCAAAAUUUCUGAUAUUAUUAGCCAAAAUGUGAUAUGAAAGUACUAAUUUGUCCUUAAUGACUAAAAUUCUUGAACAAGGGUUUGUAACUGUAAGAGCAAGUCCACCCCACACAAUUUAGCCUAGCACCCAGUCCAAAAAGCAACCCAACACCCUGUCAAUUUGCUCAAACCCGCAAAACAGCCUGGCACCCAGCCCAAGCUAGGCAACAGACCAGCCCAUUUCGGACAGACCCAGAGGCCGGCCUAUUUGGCUAGCGCGUGCAGCACACUCGCGACUGGGCGCAAGUAUGAGACAAGGGUGCAGGCGACGGGGCCCGCUUGUCAACCCACUUGUGUUCACCCAGAUUAGGGCUAUGUGGCCCUCCUCAGUGCCGUUGGAUUUCCAACGGCUAAUUUUU
rnacentral:lncRNA from 1 species